CCCUGGUUAGCUCAGUUGGUAGAGCGCUCCACUCGUAAUGGAGAGGUCCCGGGUUCGAUACCCGGACCAGGCG
rfam:Ixodes scapularis strain Wikel colony gcontig_1108378598020, whole genome shotgun sequence.